rnacentral:lncRNA from 1 species
UUGCAAUUUUUAUUACUCAUAUAAAUAUCCCUUACAAAAAUGAUAUACAAAGUACAUUUCAUGUAUAAUGUUGUGUUAAGAACAAAUUAAAUCCCAUUGGUCUCCGGUAACCGACUAAUUUAUAUUGCUUUGAUAUUCGUAUGUUCGUGAUAAAUAAACAAGGCAGAGAGUAAAGAAGGCUAAGGGCUUCAUUUUUAUACCCCUUGAUUGCACAAUAAAUUAGGUUUUAUGAUUCUACAAAAAUACUAUUUGUAUAUUUUUUUUAAUCAAAACAGGAAUAAUAACAAAUAAACACACCUGAUUAUUAUUUUAAUAUUAAAACAUGUUCAAUGAAAAUUUAAUAAACAGUGAAAACUGCAUCAAUUGAUCAUAUGUAAUAUAUUAAAAGAAAGAUGAGGUAUAAUUGCAGAUGAGACAACUCUUCACAAAAGACCAAUAUGACACAGAAAUUAACACUUAUAGGUCAACGUACGGCCUUCAACAAUGAAAAAAGCCAAUACCGCUUUUCACUACAUUUAAUUUUAGGGAUGUUUAUUACAAUUUUACGUUAAUUUGGUUCAGCAGGCAACAAAAUGGCAACAUAACACUUUUAGAGGAUAAAAUCAGAUAAAAAUAUAGAAAGGAUCUUUGAGCUAUAAAUCAAUAAUUGUAUUAAGUAGAACCCACAGCUGUCAAUACGUCAAUGUUUCUGUAAUAAUUAAACAUGCAUCGCAAGGCCAAGCUCACAGACAUGAAUAAACCGUUUGGACUAUGCUUUCCACUUGAUUGAGAACAACUCGUCACUGCUGGUUGUUGUCCAUUUCAUUAUGAUUGUUCAAUUUCAAAGUUUCAUGAUAGGUAACAUAAGGGUAAAAAUACGACUCAUGUAACUUAUCGAUCAGAUUGAAAUAUUCCUUCCAAAACAACUCUUGCAUUUUUAAAAUAAACAAAGCGGAAUUUCCAUAUAUUAUCUGAGCCCUA